rnacentral:rRNA from 1 species
AUUGAACGCUGGCGGCAGGCCUAACACAUGCAAGUCGAGCGGAUGAAGGUAGCUUGCUAUCUGAUUCAGCGGCGGACGGGUGAGUAAUGCCUAGGAAUCUGCCUGGUAGUGGGGGACAACGUUUCGAAAGGAACGCUAAUACCGCAUACGUCCUACGGGAGAAAGUGGGGGAUCUUCGGACCUCACGCUAUCAGAUGAGCCUAGGUACGAUUAGCUAGUUGGUGAGGUAAAGGCUCACCAAGGCGACGAUCGUUAACUGGUCUGAGAGGAUGAUCAGUCACACUGGGACUGAGACACGGUCCAGACUCCUACGGGAGGCAGCAGUGGGGAAUAUUGGACAAUGGGCGAAAGCCUGAUCCAGCCAUGCCGCGUGUGUGAAGAAGGUCUUCGGAUUGUAAAGCACUUUAAGUUGGGAGGAAGGGCAGUAAGUUAAUACCUUGCUGUUUUGACGUUACCGACAGAAUAAGCACCGGCUAACUUCGUGCCAGCAGCCGCCGUAAAAC